GGGAUCGAAGAUGAUUAGAUACCAUCGUAGUCUUAACCGUAAACUAUGCCGACUUGCGAUUGUCUCUUUAUCUUAUGCAGAGGGAGGCAGCAGCACAUGAGAAAUCAAAGUCUUUGGGUUCCGGGGGGAGUAUGGUCGCAAGGCUGAAACUUAAAGGAAUUGACGGAAGGGCACCACCAGGAGUGGAGCCUGCGGCUUAAUUUGACUCAACACGGGGAAACUUACCAGGUCCAGACAAAGUAAGGAUUGACAGAUUGAGAGCUCUUUCUUGAUUCUUUGGGUGGUGGUGCAUGGCCGUUCUUAGUUGGUGGAGUGAUUUGUCUGGUUAAUUCCGAUAACG
rnacentral:rRNA from 1 species